CAGUCGCCACGGUAAUACGAAGGGUGCAAGCGUUAAUCGGAAUUACUGGGCGUAAAGCGUGCGUAGGCGGUGAGUUAAGUCUGCUGUGAAAUCCCCGGGCUCAACCUGGGAAUGGCAGUGGAUACUGGCUCGCUAGAGUGUGUCAGAGGAUGGUGGAAUUCCCGGUGUAGCGGUGAAAUGCGUAGAGAUCGGGAGGAACAUCAGUGGCGAAGGCGGCCAUCUGGGACAACACUGACGCUGAGGCACGAAAGCGUGGGGAGCAAACAGGAUUAGAUACCCCGGUAGUCCCUGUCUCUUAACA
rnacentral:rRNA from 1 species